rnacentral:rRNA from 1 species
CCAGCAAUCUUGAACACUCAUCCUUAAUACCUUUCUUUUUGGGGUAAUUAUACUCAUCGCGAAUAUCCUUAAGAGGGCGUUCAGCAGCCAGCUUGCGGCAAAACUGCGUAACCGUCUUCUCGUUCUCUAAAAACCAUUUUUCGUCCCCUUCGGGGCGGUGGUCUAUAGUGUUAUUAAUAUCAAGUUGGGGAGCACAUUGUAGCAUUGUGCCAAUUCAUCCAUUAACUUCUCAGUAACAGAUACAAACUCAUCACGAACGUCAGAAGCAGCCUUAUGGCCGUCAACAUACAUAUCACCAUUAUCGAACUCAACGCCCUGCAUACGAAAAGACAG